rnacentral:tRNA from 1 species
CUGGGUCUAUCAAGGGAUUUGUUGCUGGUGGCGUCGGAGGCGCUGCGGUUACACCCGAGGUUGGGGGCGCCGGUGCUAUACCCGGUGCUCUUGGC